CAGCACAACACUGAGAUGAAGGCGAAGUCACCAUGAAAAGUUAAACGUUUACCGUUAAGGUAAGCUCUGGUCUUCACAUAAGUUAGUCAUUAUGACUAAGCUAUCAUUAUGGUAAAUUUUUUUCAACUGUAAGUUAGUUAUUUAAACUAAACUCAUAAUGAAAUGAGUCUUAACUGUUUUAUUAAAUGGAGCUGAAAAUUAAAUGCAGUUUAAUUAUUUUAAGCUAACGUUAAUAUUAACAAAAUACAUAUUAAUUGUCUAUUUCUCAAUAAUGUUAAUGAGCUUGAUUUAUAGUGUGUCAUUAAUUGUACAUUUAAUUUUUGGUGUUCAGGUGUACCUGAGGUGAGUGUAUGUUCUGAGUACACAGAUAUAAGCCAAAGUCAUUAUCACUAUAUAUAUAUAUAUAUAUCCAUCCUAUUCUAAGAGAAAUUAAUGGGGUCAGGGAAUGAUUUGUGUACAAAUGUAUUUUAACCCCAAACAGAUUGGUAUCGUUGUACCAUAGAUUUAGAUUAAUUAAUGUUAAGUCUUAUUUUACUCUUAUUAUAUUUAUCUGUUUUUCAGCUACAGUAAUUGAUGUUGAAAAACUGAUGCUACCAAUCACUCCUCACUUGAUUAUUCAAGCAGUUCCUAAGAUAAAAAAAAAAUCUGGUGUUAAAACAGCCACGGCUAUGCUAUUUGCCUACCAAGUGCUGACCCAGAUAGUGAUGGACCUGGAAUGCGACACCAGUUACUCUCAAGACAAGAACCGAAUAAAGCACAGAUGUGGAGGGAUUUGCAGCCAAACUAACUGGAGGGAAGGAACCUUUAGUGUGGGUGAACAUACUACCUGGAUGUCCAACAAAGGCUGCACAAGCGCUCAUUUGAUAGCACAUAUUCUGUCCUGUCUACAUCUCUGAUGACCUGGAAGUGCUUCGACAUCAGAUCAUCAUUAUGCUGCUGCCCUUUUUCACUGUCCCUUUCCACAUCAUUUGGCCUUCAUCAUUUCCUGUCUUGUAGCAGUAUUUUCACCUGUUUUUAAAAUUGUAAUAAUUUUUGAUGCAUUAAUUGUUGACUGGUUUUAAUGAUCAAUUGUUUAUUAGUGUUCUGUUGCUCUGUUAUAUUGAAUAAUUGCUACUGUUUUAGCAUGGUUUACACAAUAAACCUUUAUUGUGAAGUUAAA
ensembl:processed_transcript